CUACGGGGGGCUGCAGUGAGGAAUAUUGCACAAUGGAGGAAACUCUGAUGCAGCAACGCCGCGUGGAGGAUGACGCAUUUCGGUGUGUAAACUCCUUUUAUAUGUCAAGAAAAUGACGGUAGCAUAUGAAUAAGCUCCGGCUAACUCCGUGCCAGCAGCCGCGGUAAUACGGAGGGAGCAAGCGUUACUCGGAAUCACUGGGCGUAAAGGACGCGUAGGCGGGUUGGAAAGUCAGGUGUGAAAUCCUACAGCUUAACUGUAGAACUGCACUGGAAACUUCUAAUCUAGAGUAUGGGAGGGGGAGAUGGAAUUAGUGGUGUAGGGGUAAAAUCCGUAGAUAUCACUAGGAAUACCUAAAGCGAAGGCGAUCUCCUGGAACAUUACUGACGCUAAGGCGUGAAAGCGUGGGGAGCAAACAGGAUUAGAUACCCCCGUAGUC
rnacentral:rRNA from 1 species